GACGAACGCUGGCGGCGUGCUUAACACAUGCAAGUCGAACGGAAAGGCCCUGCUUUUGUGGGGUGCUCGAGUGGCGAACGGGUGAGUAACACGUGAGUAACCUGCCCUUGACUUUGGGAUAACUUCAGGAAACUGGGGCUAAUACCGGAUAGGAGCUCCUGCUGCAUGGUGGGGGUUGGAAAGUUUCGGCGGUUGGGGAUGGACUCGCGGCUUAUCAGCUUGUUGGUGGGGUAGUGGCUUACCAAGGCUUUGACGGGUAGCCGGCCUGAGAGGGUGACCGGCAACAUUGGGACUGAGAUACGGCCCAGACGCCUACGGGAGGAAGGAGUGGGGAAUAUUGCACAAUGGGCGGAAGCCGGAUGAAGCAACGCCGGGUGGGGGAGGACGGCCUUCGGGUUGUAAACCGCUUUCGCCUGUGACGAAGCGUGAGUGACGGUAAUGGGUAAAGAAGCACGGGCUAACUAGGU
rnacentral:rRNA from 1 species